rnacentral:rRNA from 1 species
AAGCGCUUGCAAUCAGACUUGCAUGCAGUUGAUCAUCCGAUGUUCUCACCGGUGCACUCAAUUGCGUUCAGGCCAGCAUUGGUUUUGGUGGUUGGAUAAAGGCCUAGGGAAUGUAGCUUCCUUCGGGGAGUGUUAUAGCCCUCGGUGCAAUGCCGCCUACCUGGACCGAGGACCGCGCUUCGGCUAGGAUGCUGGCGUAAUGGUUGUAAGCGA